rnacentral:rRNA from 1 species
GUAAGAUCCCUGAAAGAUGAUCAGGUUGAUAGGUCAGAGGUGGAAGCAUGGUGACAUGUGGAGCUGACUGAUACUAAUAGAUCGAGGACUUAACCUAC